CACGCACUGCCUUAACGUUUCCAAAAAAGAAAAAUCUAGCUCAGGGAGAAGAAAGCGCCGGCAGCAGCUCUGCAGGCUCAGGGCUGAGGAUCCGGUAAUGAAGUCUUUCUGGAAGGAAUUUUGAAGAUGGUUGACGGUCAACUAGCUAUUCUGGACCAUGGGUUGAGCUUCAGAAAGGAACCAUGCUGUGGUGUAGACAGGAGCCUCUACACUGGCCUUGGAAUGCCUACCUUUGGAAUACUUUUCAACGAGAAAGAGAGAUUUGUUAUUUAAGCUUCUGCUGAUUUUGAGUUUCCAUUAAAUGUAGUCAAGCUCCA